GAGGUGAGGCUCAGCGGUAGAGCACUUGCCUGGCAUGUAUAAGGCACUGGGUUCAAUCCUCAGCACCACA
rnacentral:tRNA from 1 species